GGGAGCCGCAGAGGACAUCCAUGGCGGGGCAGCCUCUCCUUCAUCCGCCUGAAGAGCGGCUGCUUCUUCUCGCGGCUCUUUUCACAGCAGCAGCAGCAGCAGCCAGGCUCCCGCACAGCCUCCGCUUGCUUCCCUUCCGCCACGCUAAGGCGGAUGUUCGCCAACUUGGCCGCCGCCGCCUCCUCCUCCUCCUCACACGGAAAGGGGGGCGGGGAAGGGCUUGCCUAGGCAGCGCUGAGGCUGGGCCGGGCGGGCUUGGCUGGGGUCUUCUCCCCCUGUUGCAGUAGUUUCGCGGGCCUGCUUCCAUGGGGACAACGGGCUUAGCAGCUCACGUUGGCUCUGUGCCCGCGCGGCGCGUGGCCCACCGUUAUGCACGUACCAGGUAGAACGCAGGACCGAGAUCAAGAUGGGGAGAGAAGAAGAAGAGACAGGCUAAGCACUCUGUUUAGAGCCCUGUCGUUUCCCCAGAGAGGGUGUACAUGCUCCAUCCUGCACCCCAGUUCUCUGCGUUAAAUUUAGCAGCAGGACAGGGAAGGGACCUCCAUGGGGAUGACGCGCCCCCCCCCCCCCAUCAUCACACACACUCCCGCCCAGCAGGAAGACAAAUCGCUCCUUUCCCCAUAGCAGUGAGUUCCAGAGAUUCAAAAAGACUUAUUUGUGGAGGUCUUGCUACUGUGAGAAGGGAGAUUAAUUGGAUGAACAAGAAAUUGGCGAGUCAAUGGAGCAUAUCACUUCUGCUCACUGGAGAGGUCUCCUUCACUUCCGCUGUGGAAACAAUCUGCACGCCUCCGCUCACAUCAGCCUAAUGGGAGAGCACUUGACAAUUCCUGAAGAACUGUAAUUGGCCAGCAGAUGGCACCAGAGAUGGAGCGGCGCUGAAUCUGAAAAGGACCAGUAAUGUGUUGCAAAAGGAAGG